rnacentral:lncRNA from 1 species
GGUGUAAACAUGGAGACGCGCUGUGUUUGUUCCGGUUUCUCUUCCGCACCCUCUGGAUUUACAGCUUUGCCCAGGUUUGUCAUCAUGGCAGGCAAGAUCCUGUUGUACAAGAGUGACCAGUAAUGAUCUCUAGACCAGAAUUUGAACAUGCACAUCCUUGAGGCCACCAGUGAAAAGACUGUAAGGUCAUAUAGCUUAUACCAUUUCAAGGAGUCAUUGUCUAACCUGGAGAUGGACUGGGGCAGCCCUGGAGUUGCAGUUCAGGAAUACAGAAGGUUCAGAUGUUCGGAAUGUCCGUGAAAGGCUGGCCCUGACCCGCCUGAUGUAGGGACAUGAUUCAUCUCCAGGCUCAAGCCCAUCAUUCAAAGAAAACACCGGAAGAGACUAGGUGUUCUGUGAAAUGGCGUAUUCCGAAGUCUCUGUCACUGAGAGAAGGAUGUAAGCGCAGGAUCAAAGCAUCAUCUUCAAAGAAGGAGCUGUGUGAUCUCUGUCUCUGAAAAUCUCCUCUGUUGACCUCUCAUCGAAGCCAACUUCCUCUGCUUAGUCAUCUUGCUUACUUCACCUAGCACAGUGCCAGUCCAGCUCUACAUCAUGAUCUCCAAGCUCCAGUAACUGCCACCAACUGACAACAGUCUCCAUAUCUCUUCUGGCAAACUCUCACAUGGAAGAGACUUUUCAGACCAUAUCAUGCUUUUCUCACAAUGGAGCAGCAGCUUUGGGUUGGAGAAGGGUCAUGGGGUAUAGAGGAGUGCAGAAUAGAUCCUUUAGAAGGGGCCAUGGAUGGGGCAGACAAUGAGACCUAUUUAUUAUAUCCUCGC